rnacentral:rRNA from 1 species
GAUGAACGCUAGCGAUAGGCUUAACACAUGCAAGUCGAGGGGCAGCAUGGUCUUAGCUUGCUAAGACUGAUGGCGACCGGCGCACGGGUGCGUAACGCGUAUGCAACUUGCCUCACAGAGGGGGAUAACCCGUCGAAAGACGGACUAAUACCGCGUACACUUGGGAUAGGGCAUCCUGACCCAAGGAAAUGAAAUUCGCUGUGAGAUAGGCAUGCGUCCCAUUAGCUAGUUGGUGAGGUAACGGCUCACCAAGGCGACGAUGGGUAGGGGAACUGAGAGGUUGAACCCCCACACUGGUACUGAGACACGGACCAGACUCCCACGGGAGGCAGCAGUGAGGAAUAUUGGUCAAUGGGCGAGAGCCUGAACCAGCCAAGUCGCGUGAAGGAUGACUGUCUUAUGGAUUGUAAACUUCUUUUAUACGGGAAUAACAAGAGCCACGUGUGGCUCCCUGCAUGUACCGUAUGAAUAAGCAUCGGCUAACUCCGUG